AAACGUCGCCUCCGAGGAAAACUGAUCGAAUGUUUUAAAAUACUUAUUGGUUUCACGAAUGUAGACAGAUCAACAUUGUUUAUGAUCGAUGACACUUUGCGCACGAGGAACAAUGGCGUAAAACUCAGAUGUAGACAAGUAAAUUCAGACUGCACCAAAUUUUUCUUCACCAACGUUGUAGUGCGAGAAUGGAAUAAGCUUCCACCGUCAGUGGUCCAGUGUAACACGCUUGACUCCUUCAAAAAUAAGCUCGACCGUCACUUCCUUCAACUUAAUAUCAACUAGAGUAGAAAUGCAACGUUUUGGAGUCUUCUGAUUAAUGUAAAAUCACUUAGGUUUAAGGACAGACCACCAAGUCUGGACCAUGGGGUCUGUGUGGUCUGAUUUUCUAUGUAAAUCUAUGUAAAUCUCUCUCUCUCUCUCUCUCUCUCUCUCUCUCUCUCUCUCUCUCUCUCUCUCUCUCUCUCUCUCUCUCUCUCUCUCUCUCUCUCACACACACACACACACACACACACACACACACACACACACACACACAGGAACAAGUAAACAACGUGUAUUGAAAGUCUGGUUAUAUUAUUUAAAAUCUACAUCAUAAGGGAAUUGUUUUUCUCUAUACAAGAGUCGAGAUUUAUACAUGUCUGAUACGCGCUACGAAACAAAGAAGAAACACGAAACGGAAAGGAAACGUGAGGCGAAACUGAAUCUCUCUCUCUCUCUCUCUCUCUCUCUCUCUCUCUCUCUCUCUCUCUCUCUCUCUCUCUCCGGUAGUGUUUUAUUUCUGUAUUUCGUCGCCUUCCUAAUCUAACUUGCCCUACCCUGAACACACACACACACACACACACACACUCUCUCUCGGGAUGUCAUGUGGUGCGUGCGUGUGUGUGUGUGUGUGUGUGUGUAAUCUAAGCAUGUGACUGUGACUGAUGUAACCUCACACACACACACACACACACACACACACACACACACACAAACACACACACACACCAUACCUAUAUAUUACAUACUUUAGGAAACGCUUUUAAACUUACUAUACAGCUUCCAAAACAUGAUCUAUACAAGUCACUGGAUAAACAAACACACAAACAAACAGUGAACGAGAAAGUGAUCGGAAAAAAAACAGGAAAAAAACAUGAAAAAAAAUGGAAAAAAAGUCGACAUUUAUUUUGAUUGUCCUGUUCAAGGUGUGUGUGUGUGUGUGUGUGUGUGUGUGUGUGUGUGUGUGUGUGUGUGUGUGUAUGGACAAGAUUGGGUUAUUGGUCCAUUUUCUUUUUUUAAAUUUUUCCUUCCUUCAUUCCUUCCUUCCUUCCUCUCUUUCUUCUUUACCUUUAUUUUCCAUAUGUUCUUCAUUUGUAGUAAUUGUAGUAGUAGUAGUAGUAGUAGUAGGAGUAGUAGUUGUAGUGGUGGUUGUCAGGGUUGUAAUGUUUGUACUGGUAGUAGUAGUAGUAGAAGUAGUAGUAAUAGUAGUAGUAGUAGUAGUAGAAGAAGUGGUGGUAGUAGUAGUAGUAAUAGUAGUUGUAGCAGGAACAGUAGUAGUAGUAGUAGUAGUAGUAGUAGUAGUAGUAGUAGUAGUAGUAGUAGAAGAAGUAGUGGUUGUAGUAGUAAUAUUAGUAAUAGCAGCAAUAGUAGUAGUAGUAGUAUUCGUAGUAGUAGUAGUAGUAGUACAUUGAAAAUUGCAAUAUUAAGGAAAAAGGAAUGUUUGGAGAAGAAGUAGAACAAGAACAAGAAGAGGAAGAAGAAGAAGAAGAAGAAGAAGAAGAA